GUCAGCUGACUGAGCUGCCGCUCCUUUUUAAGUCAGGAAUAAGUAGUAAAGUGCGUUUUUAUACAGAAUAUUACCUAUUCCAUGUAAAUCUUUAAUAAGGCAUGCUAGAGGGUUUUAAAAGAAAUCCAGACUUCAUGAAAUGAGAAUAUCCAGAGGGAAAAAUGAUUGAAUUUAAAGAGAGAGAGAGAGAAAAAAAAAGAAGGAACCUUCAGUGGUAACUGUAUUCAGCCAAGGGGAUCUGCUGAUGGAAUUAUGAAAUCCAGUUUGGGAAGUGAAGUGAACUUUCCCAGCCACCGACUCAAAGCACAAGAUCCUAAAGUGCUUAAUGAACAGUGAAGGCUGACCUGUGAAGGAUUAGGAAUUUCAGACAUGUGUUACUUAAGCUUCUCAUUCCCAGAACCAAAAUUCCUCGCAAUAAAAGAAAGAAAGAAGUCAGCAUGAUGGCUCCAUCGCUGGGCUGACCUCAGAUCGUGCUGGUCUCAGUGAUGAACGGAAGGAAUGAGAAAUCUUCUAACAGAUUCCACAUUUCUGAUAAAAGUCCUAGAAAAAACUCUUCCAUGUUUUAACAUCCAAUCCUGUCUCACCAACCGUGGCUCAGAAACCACUAUUGCUUUCUGGAUUAGAAAAACUCAUCCAGUUCUUGUGGAUUACACACUAG
rnacentral:lncRNA from 10 species